AACAGAUGUGUUCAUUUAGAAAGUCCGUGGUCGAAACCAGGUCUUGAAUCUUGCUUGACGUAUGAUCAAUGACAUGUGUAGUGUGCAAUGGUGUCGAGGGAUCGUGGUUUUAAAGAAUUUACUUUUUUUACUAGAAGUAGCGCAGUAUUAUUAUAGUUAUACGAACGUUUCAACAGCAUAGAAUCAUUAAUAAUGGGGAAAGCAAAAAAAGGGAAAAAGGGCAGCAAGGAGGACGAUAUAGAGGAUGAAAUUGGUGUGGAUAUUCAGAAUGGGGUUGAUGAGAAUCUUCAAAGCAAGGGAAAGGAGAAAAAGGGGAAAUCGAAAAAUAAGGACACUGACAUUUCCAAAGCAGAUGUAAUAGAAGAAAUUGAUGAUGAAGCAUCAACAAAAAAGAAAAAAGGAAAAAAGGAGAAGAAAAAGAAAAAAGAUUAUGAAGAAGAUGAUGUAGAAUACUUAGCUAAAGAACUUGAUGAUGUAACAAUAGAGGAAGGGAGAAAAGACAAGAAACAAAGCAAGAAAGCAGCCGAGAAAUUUGAUGCAGAAUCUAGUGACGAAGAACCGAACUAUACGUCGUUGCCGAUGAACAAGAAGAAAACAGGAUUUGCCGCUCUUUCUCUUGACAGUGGUAGUGAUGUGGAAGAGAACAACAUGUCAAAGUCAUUCAAGGCUGAAAAAUUACGUUCAUCUGGUAAGGUGAAGGGGGGUUUUGCCGUUCUUGAAGUGGAGGGUGAAGGUUCUGAUUCAGCAACAGAGGACAGGAGUAGGGAAUCUGAAGAAGAAGAAGAAGAAGAAAGCAGCAGAAAUAGUAAUAAAAAAAUGAACAAAAAAGUAGCUCAGUCUGUAGAUUUAGAAGACGGUGUUAUUAAGAAGGAAGAUAAAGGUGGAAAGAAAGGAAAGAAACAGAGAAAGAAACAACAGGAUGAUGAUGAUGAAGAAGACAUUGAAAAGAUGCUAGCUGAAUUAGAAAUUGAAUACUCUGGCGGAGUUAAGAAGGAUGUGGUACAAGAGGAACCUCCAAAGGAUGAGGACGUCAGCGAAGAAAGUGGUAAGAAAGACAAAAAAAAGAAACGAAAGGCGGAUAUGGAGAAGAGAGAAGCAGCGUCAGAAGAGAAUCAGGAAACCCCGAAAGAAAUUAUAGAUGGUGAAGAGAUUGAAGGAACAGUAAAGACUGCAGCACAAAAGAAAAAAGAAAAGAAGGAGAGGGAAAAACAGAAGAAAAUGGCACAAAAGAAGGAAGCUGUGAAGAAGGUAGUGAAGGAUGAAACCCAAAAACCAGAGACUGAAAGUCCUGUUUCUGUACAGACUGCAUCACAAGACAUUGAAGAUAAAGAACCGGAUACAUCAGUGGUUCCUGAAGAUGGAGAUGAUGUUGAUGAUGAUGAUGACGAUGAUAAGAAAAAAAAGAAGAAGAAAAAGAAGGGAGAAGAGGAUAAAGGAAAGGACAAAGGAAAGGGACCAGGAAAGAAGAAAAUUGCAGCGAUGCAGGAAGCCUUGAAGAAGAUGCGUGAAGAGGAGGAGAAAUUAGCCCUUCAAGCAGCAGAACGAAUUAGGAAGGAGGAGGAAGCAGAGAGAGCGCGAGAAGAACAGCGCCUGUUGGAGAUUGAGCGCAAAGAAAGAAAGAAACUUAAAGAAAAAGAAAGAAAAGAGAGGCUGAAAGCAGAGGGUAAACUCCUGUCAGCGAAGCAGAAAGCUGACCGUGCCCGUGCUCAAGCAAUGUUGGAUGCUCUUAAAGCUCAGGGACUAGAAAUGCCUAAUGCAGGGGAGAAGAGAGCUCCCAGACCAGGCACGAGAGUACGGACUAAAGCAAAACAGCAGACUAGUCUUGAGCAAGACCAGAAACACGAAGAGCAGAACGUAGAGGUUGAAAUUGUGGAUUCUGUUGCAUCGGAAAAGAAGGAAGCAGGUGAAGUGAAGGACAGUUUGGAUCAGGAUGAUGAUGUGAAGGAUACGUGGGAUGCUGAGUCUUCGGGAGAAGACGAGGAUGAAGAUCAUUCUGAUAAGUCAAAAUUAGGUGCAAAAGUAAAAGGAACGAAACAAGAAGAAGAUGACGAUGAUGAAGAAGACGAUGAUGAAGAUGACAAUGAAGAAUCAGAAUCAGAGGAUGAAUCUGAUGAGAGCAGCAGUGAGGAGGAUAGUGAUAGUGAAGAUGAACACAAAACAGAUGCAGAAAGGCGAAAAGAGAGAGCAGUGGCUAGGAUACAGAAACGGCGCGAGGAAGCAGAAGUGAACCGGUCAGUUGAUGUAUUACGAGCUGCUGUGGUUUGUGUUCUGGGUCAUGUAGAUACAGGUAAAACAAAGAUCUUAGACAAGUUACGACGUACGAACGUUCAAGACGGUGAGGCUGGAGGUAUUACACAGCAGAUAGGAGCAACGAAUGUACCGAUCAGUGCAAUAAAAGAGCAAACUAAAUUUGUUAAAGGAUUUGCUGACGUAGAACUUCGGAUACCCGGUUUACUUAUCAUCGAUACUCCUGGACAUGAGUCUUUCAGCAACCUACGUAACAGAGGUUCUUCUCUCUGUGAUAUUGCGAUUCUCGUCGUGGACAUUAUGCAUGGAUUGGAACCGCAGACCAUUGAAUCUAUAAAUCUUCUCAAGAACAAGAAAACUCCUUUCAUUGUGGCCUUAAAUAAGAUUGACAGGCUUUACGACUGGCAGACAAUGAACAGGAAAGAUAUAAGAGAUGUAAUAAAGGCGCAGGCCGCUAAUACACAAUUAGAAUUUGAGCACAGAACCAAGGAGGUUAUCGUGCAGUUUGCAGAACAGGGGUUAAACGCUGCUGUCUUCUAUGACAACCCUGACAUCCGAAGCUACGUGUCCUUGGUGCCAACAAGCGCCAUUACGGGUGAGGGAAUCGGCAAUCUCCUGGGACUCAUCGUUGACAACUGCCAGAACAUGCUUGCCAAGAGACUUAUGUACUCUGAUGAACUGCAGGCGACAGUUCUGGAAGUAAAAGCCAUACCGGGUUUGGGAACGACAAUUGACGCUAUCCUGGUGAACGGAAGGCUUCGCGAAGGUGACGUCAUGGUACUGGCAGGAACAGACGGGCCGAUCGUGACGCAGAUUCGUUCGUUGCUGAUGCCACAACCCAUGAAAGAGCUUAGAGUAAAGAAUGCGUAUGUAGACUACAAGGAGAUUAAAGCGGCGCAAGGAGUAAAAAUUGCAGCGAAGGAUUUGGAAAAAGCAAUUGCAGGUCUGAAUCUUCAGGUAGCUCAGAAAAGCGACGAGGUCGAUAUCUUGCGCGAAGAAGUUUCUCGGGACUUGCGAUCUGCUCUCAGCAACAUCAAACUGCAGGAGAGAGGCGUGUACGUGCAGGCUUCGACUCUCGGCUCGCUGGAGGCUCUGCUCGAGUUCCUGAGGACAUCCAAAAUCCCGUAUUCAAAUAUCCGUAUUGGCCCGGUCGUGAAGAAGGACGUGAUGAAGGCCUCUACCAUGCUGGAACACGAUAGUCAGUACGCUACGAUCCUAGCAUUCGACGUGAAGGUCGAGAGAGACGCGCAAGACCUGGCAGAUACUCUGGGCGUGAAGAUAUUUCAGGCAGACAUCAUUUAUCACCUGUUUGACAAAUUCAUGGCGUACCGGGAGGAACUGAGGCAGAGGAAACGAGAGGAGUUCAAGCAUGUAGCGGUCUUCCCGUGCAAACUUAGGAUUUUACCACAUUGCAUCUUCAACACUCGUGACCCGAUAGUUUUGGGAGUGAUGAUUGAGGCUGGAAUUAUUAAAGAAGGAACGCCAAUUUGCAUACCAAGCAAGGAGUUCGUGGACCUCGGGGUUGUGACGAGUAUCGAGAUUAACCACAAAGCCGUGGAGUCCGCGAGAAAAGGGCAGGAGGUGUCCAUUAAAAUCGAAGCCAUCCCCGGAGAAACGCCCAAACUGUAUAAGAGACACUUCGAUGAGAAUGACUUUCUUAUCAGUAAGAUCAGUCGACAGUCGAUAGAUGCCUGCAAGGAUUACUUUCGAGACGACUUAGUGAAAACAGACUGGCAGCUCAUGGUUGAACUGAAGAAGUUGUUCCAGAUUUUGUAGCGCCAAAUUCGAAUAGGUUUUAUAAGUUAUUACGUUUAUGGUAUCAGAAUGUCUCCCAUAACAACUUUUGAUUAAAUUAAUGGAUUUGUAUGGAGUUUGAUAUGAGCUUUGAGCUUUUAAAAUGUCGAAACGUCAGAAAAAUCGGUACGUGUACCGUCUGGACUUGGAGGUUGUUGUCUUCUGGAGGUCCUUGCUGCAUUCGUAACCAGGGUGAUGAUGAAGUCAUUAAGCACCCUUGAAACUUUCUGUGCGACUACACGAAACAGCAUCCUAGAAGUGUCAUCUUCAUGCUCGUCGCCCUGAGAACCUGAAAUGUCAGUUUCCUCGCUGUAGUCCAGUUGUUCGAGCAGGACUUAGAAAAAAUUAAUGAAAACACAAGAGAUCUUGUUUUGAAUUGUAUUGCAUGAAAUGAGAACUUUGAUUUUUCUAAUUUAAUGCUCUGUUAUCGUACCAGUUCUAAGCCUACGUUGAGCGAUUUAUAAAGCGAUAUUGAAGCCUUGUGUA